GACGAACGCUGGCGGCGUGCUUAACACAUGCAAGUCGAACGGAAAGGCCCCUUUGGGGGUACUCGAGUGGCGAACGGGUGAGUAACACGUGAGUAACCUGCCCUUGACUUCGGGAUAACUUCAGGAAACUGGGGCUAAUACCGGAUAGGAAUCCUUGCUGCAUGGUGGGGGUUGGAAAGCUUCGGCGGUUUUGGAUGGACUCGCGGCUUAUCAGCUUGUUGGUGGGGUAGUGGCUUACCAAGGCUUUGACGGGUAGCCGGCCUGAGAGGGCGACCGGCCACAUUGGUACUGCGAUACGGCCCAGACUCCUACUGGAGGCAGCAGUGGGGAAUAUUGCACAAUGGGCGGAAGCCUGAUGCAGCAACGCCGCGUGCGGGAUGACGGCCUUCGUGUUGUAAACCGCUUUCAGCAGGGGCGAAGCUUGUGGUGACGGUACCUGCAGAAGAAGCACCGGCUAACUACGUG
rnacentral:rRNA from 1 species